CACACACACAAUGCAGCAUUGCAGUACGAUCCAGCUGGGAAGUGGAGAAUCAAACAGGGAAAUGUGGGCUGUAAAACCAGGUCAGCCACAGUGGGGACAGCUGGUGCUAUUUAAAGAUGCUGGAGCCUCAGCACACCACAGCAUGAGGACGUGGAAGCACAGGCAAGAGAAAACUCUGGAUUACUUGCAGAAUCUUGGGUCACUCCCUGUGUUUCAGCCCACAGAGGAGGAGGAGGAGGAAACACCUGUGUUUGAAGCAGAGAUGAGAUGAGGACACACCCUCUUCAUGGCUGUUCUACAUGGUGUAUCUCACGUGUGUUGGGCUGGGCUGAAAAUCUCAUCCACAUCACUGUCCCCCCUCACCAGAGAUAUAAAGGCUCAGUUGGCUCCAGUAUGACUGAGUUGCAUCACCUUGUUUUCAGCUUCUGUCAUGAGCAUUUAAUGCUUUCUUCUUUGUGCCAUUGUCUUAGAAACAUUUAAUGCACUGUUCACUCAAAACCACAAAAGUCAAGUCAAAGGAAUACAGGAAACAUUAGGAUUGAUCCUCUGGGAACAAUGAAGCAAGUUUCCUGUAAUUGUGUAGUAGUGCUUGUUAGCCUGUUAGCCUGUGGACAUUAUUCCUGACUCCUGCUACCUGUGGACUUUACAGAGACUGGCUGAUGCAGUUUAGUUAAAUUACACAACUUCUAAAGCCUUUUAGUUGUUUUCCAUUUUGAUUUAGAUGCUUCUGUUGUCUCCAGCUUGUUAUUUAAAUCAUGGUACUGUCAUGCUACAACAUACAGUGGCUUCAGAAAGUAUUCAUUUAUUCACAGUGUUGUAGAUUGAAUUUUAAAUGGAUAAAAUCUGCAAAAAUUCAAUCCACAUCCAAUAACCCAUAAUGAC